UACAUGCAAAUUUAUAUUUUCUAUAUAAUGACUGGCGACAAUGCUUUUUAUUUAUGCUUUAUCUCUAUCUAUUUUCAUAGAUAAUGAGCGGUCAAAUGUAAUACAGUGUAGUGAUAGGUCUCUAUUAUUGCAUUUUAAUUGUUGGCGUGCAAUCUUCAAUGCAUGCAUAUCAACAAACUCGAUAAUACACUGCAAUAUCUUUGCAGAUACCUAAGUUACGGAAGUAAACCAGUCGCUUAAAACAUGCCUUCUAGUUCAUGUCACCUCGCCGAUUAAAUAUGCAAGAGGUCAUUCCAUGAAUUUUUGUAAACAAAGUCCGUUUUUUUUUUCUUUAUAUCCUUCUGUUGCCAACAAUUAAGGAAUAGCGAGUACUAUGUUUACACGUAUAUUGGCAAAUCAUUCAAGCGUUUUACUAUAAACUGUAAUGGUUGAAUUGACUGUUUACAAUUAUAACUUCCGCUAAAUGUUUUGACUUUUAUAAAGUGACACAGAUGUUUUACGACGAAAAUGACAAGUUAACAGGUGACACCAUUGCACUCAUAAGACGUAUUCUAAAAGGGGAAACAAAAUGAGACGUGAUUGUACGCAAAGACGACAAUGUUCCUGGCAGUGGUCAUUGUGAACUUAUGUCUAUUUGUACGUGCUUUAGAACAUGGCAGGAAUACCUCUGAUUUGAAAAAUGGAACGCCAUGUGACACGAACAAAGUUAACCUCGCCGUCAACUGCACCUAUGAUCCUAUAAAUCUAAACAGGAACACAUCUACAGAUUCUUGGGAAAAGUUUUGACAGCAGGGGACGAUUUAAACGUGCUUCUGUUGCGGCGGUCAUUUUUGUUGUCCUAGCUGUAGUUCUGUCAGUUAUACAGAAAUACAAAAACAAAGUUGUUCUUACAAAUAAAUGGCAGUUUAGAUAUAAAAAACACUUUGACAAAGACGGUGCUAACGACAUAAUCUACAUGGUUGAGAAUGACCUACAUUUAACCGAUGAGUUUGAUGUUGCAAUCAACCAGAUAGAUGAAAUAAAAGGAGUGGAAAAUGACUUCAAAGAAGUUUUGUUGCAAAGUUCUGCAUGAUCAGUAAAGUGCAAUGUGAAAUUAACAAAAUAAAAAAUGCAUACUUAAA